UAAGAUAGAGGCGCAGAUUUAAAGAGUAGCAUUAACGCCAAUAGUUCAACAUAUUGUUAAUGUGAAAGGUAACUCUGCCGAAGAGUGUAUAGGUUGAAAUAUACUCGUCUGGUUGUGCGUUUAAUAGGCGUACGAUUGUCAUCUUAUCCGAUUAACGGACGAUGGAGCGCUAUCG
rnacentral:ncRNA from 1 species